rnacentral:rRNA from 1 species
CCUACGGGCGGCAGCAGUGGGGAAUAUUGGACAAUGGGGGGAACCCUGAUCCAGCCAUGCCGCGUGUGUGAAGAAGGCCCUCGGGUUGUAAAGCACUUUCAGUGAGGAAGAACGCCUGGUGGUUAAUACCCAUCAGGAAAGACAUCACUCACAGAAGAAGCACCGGCUAACUCCGUGCCAGCAGCCGCGGUAAUACGGAGGGUGCGAGCGUUAAUCGGAAUUACUGGGCGUAAAGCGCGCGUAGGUGGCUUGAUAAGCCGGUUGUGAAAGCCCCGGGCUCAACCUGGGAACGGCAUCCGGAACUGUCAAGCUAGAGUGCAGGAGAGGAAGGUAGAAUUCCCGGUGUGGCGGUGAAAUGCGUAGAGAUCGGGAGGAAUACCAGUGGCGAAGGCGGCCUUCUGGACUGACACUGACACUGAGGUGCGAAAGCGUGGGUAGCAAACAGGAUUAGAUACCCGUGUAGUC